AGGCGCCAGGCACAGCCGCACGCACCGCGCCGCCCCCGUCCACCCACGUCCGCCGCGCGGCCGCGCCGCGGCGCCGUCCCGCGCCCCCCGGCCCCCGCGGCGAGAUCCCGUCGCCCGCCGCCGCCAGACCCCUUCAGGCCUCCGCCGGCAGGUCUACCCGCGGUCCCGCGCGGCGCUGCGGCCUCUCUGCUCUCGGCGCUCGGCGCUCGCGGCGCUCCGGCGCCGGCGCAGCCCCACCAGGCGACCGCCCCCCCUCGGGCCUCGGCCCCUCCCCGGCUCCCCCCGCCCCCCACCAGGACUGCCUGCUGCCCCCCACCGCGAGGCAGUACAAAAUGAAGAAGUCAAAAAAUAUUGAUCUGAAAUCAACGUGGGAAAGGGCUACGAAGACACGCAUGUAGAUUCUCUUCUGAACUUUUUAGGUUGUUCGUCUAAAUAUUUUUUUUCAAUGGGCAUACCCUACUUUGAAAUCCUAGGUCCGUCAUUGGGAGCAAGCACCGGUCCCACGCUGCGUUAGUCUGUAGCAAUCAUAUACCAGAGCACAGCACAUUAAGUACUCACAUAGAAGACAGACUGUACCUCACGAAGUAUUCUUUUGCAAAGUUUCUUGACCUUGGUUUUGGAUUUAACAUCCGCAUGCAAUACUUUAUCUGUAUUCUUCUGUGUGUCAAUCGAUUCAACAGUAGUGGCAGGUUGUUCCUCAUUGUCAUCUUCUUCAAUUUCCGAAUAUUCAUCGGACUGGGCUGGACUAUCUUCAUCACUAUCACCAAAUGAAGUUUUGUUUCCCUUCCAACGAUGGCCAGCAAUUUUCAUUGGCAGGCCCUUUAUGCCAAGACCCUGCUUGCCUGAAGUAGCUUUAUCCUGCAGCAAAUCACAGACCAUGCAUAUAUUAAGAAUUCAGCACAUCAUACCAAUCAACCUGAACAAGAUUGUACAGAUUUUCUUGAUCUUCCUCCACAAAUGUCUGGCGGACAUUAGAAGGAUCUUUUCGUGAAGAUCUUUUUUUACGAGAUGUUGCUCCAAGAAACCCUCCUGAUACAAAUCCAAAUUUGUGCCCCCACCAGUUUACAUCUUCAGCUUGGGAUACUGCACAAGCAAAGAGUUGACAAAGCAAGUUACUAAAACCUCUAUGAAAUUUAGCACACAAUGAAGAAAAGGUACAAAGGUAAUCGAAAUCGACUGCUCAAUCUGUUGACAUGGUGCACACGGUUGUAAAAAUAGAUGUGUCAAAAUAGAUGUAUUGCCAAUUGCUAUAGAUGCACACGGUUGACAUGAAGAAGUCAAAAAUGACAUUUGGUUCCUUGUAGGCAGUACAAAAUGAAGAAGUCAAAAAAUAUUGAUCUGAAAUCACCGUGGGAAUGGGCUACAAAGACACGUAUGUAGAUUCUCUUGUGAACUUUUUUUAUGUUGUUCGUCUAAAUAUUUUUUUUCAA